rnacentral:rRNA from 1 species
ACAGAGGUCCCAAGCGUUGUUCGGAAUUACUGGGCGUAAAGGGCGUGUAGGCGGCCAACUAAGUCCGACGUGAAAUCCCCAGGCUCAACCUGGGAACUGCGUCGGAUACUGGAUGGCUUGAAUCCGGGAGAGGGAUGCAGAAUUCCAGGUGUAGCGGUGAAAUGCGUAGAUAUCUGGAGGAAUACCGGUGGCGAAGGCGGCAUCCUGGACCGAGAUUGACGCUGAUGAGCGAAAGCUAGGGGAGCAAACGGGA